GAUGAACGCUGGCGGCGUGCUUAACACAUGCAAGUCGAACGGGAAACCUUUUAUUGAAGCUUCGGCAGAUUUAGCUGGUUUCUAGUGGCGGACGGGUGAGUAACGCGUGGGUAACCUGCCUUAUACAGGGGGAUAACGGUCAGAAAUGGCUGCUAAUACCGCAUAAGCGCACAGAGCUGCAUGGCUCAGUGUGAAAAACUCCGGUGGUAUAAGAUGGACCCGCGUUGGAUUAGCUGGUUGGUGGGGUAACGGCCCACCAAGGCGACGAUCCAUAGCCGGCCUGAGAGGGUGAACGGCCACAUUGGGACUGAGACACGGCCCAGACUCCUACGGGAGGCAGCAGUGGGGAAUAUUGCACAAUGGGGGAAACCCUGAUGCAGCGACGCCGCGUGAAGGAAGAAGUAUCUCGGUAUGUAAACUUCUAUCAGCAGGGAAGAUAAUGACGGUACCUGACGAAGAAGCCCCGGCUAACUACGUG
rnacentral:rRNA from 1 species